rnacentral:rRNA from 1 species
UACGUAGGGGGCAAGCGUUGUUCGGAAUUACUGGGCGUAAAGGGCGCGUAGGCGGCAUGGCAAGUCGGGAGUGAAAGGCCUGGGCUCAACCGAGGAACUGCUUUCGAGACUGCCAAGCUAGAGUGCGGAAGGGGCAUCUGGAAUUCCCAGUGUAGCGGUGAAAUGCGUAGAUAUUGGGAAGAACACCUGAGGCGAAGGCGGGAUGCUGGGCCGACACUGACGCUGAGGCGCGAAAGCCAGGGGAGCAAACGG